rnacentral:lncRNA from 1 species
ACAGUUUUUCCAAAAGCUUAUCAGUCAUAUCGACCCGAACAGGGUCCUUGGGGUCCAUCUGUUUCAAUAUGUUUACCAACUUCUGAACCAUUCCGCAUAAGCUUGAAUAUCUAUUCAUAUUUCAAUCAAGAAAAGGUAUCAGCCAAAACCAACAAACUAAAUAAAGGAAAUUAGCGAAUAUAAAUAUGAUGAAUUAUGAUGAUACUUAAUUUUUGUAAUCAUCCCGUCCAGUAACGUGGUAGCGCUGCAUAACGAGGUUCUCUCUGUGACCUCCUUCUCUCUUCCAUUCCAAAAAAUUGACCUUCUUUAAAAGCUUCUGCUCAUGGAACUUUAGCUUCCUCAUUGUUUU